AUGCAUGUGCAUCAGAUGGAUGUGGUAACCGCAUUUCUAAAUGGACACCUGGAUGAGGAAAUCUAUAUGGAGCAACCAGAGGGAUACAUCAGACCAGGAGAAGAAAGUUUGGUGUGCAAGCUGAAGAAGUCAAUAUAUGGACUGAAGCAGUCCCCUCGCUGCUGGAGCAAAACUUUCACAGAGUUCAUGAAGAACAUUGGAUUCAAACAGAGUACAUCAGACCCAUGUGUGUUCGUGAGAUCUCGACAGGAGCUGGAGAUAUUAGCUGUGUAUGUUGAUGAUCUAAUUCUGAUCACAGAGUCGAUGGAAAGCAUGGAAGAGCUGAAACUUGCUCUUAAGAAGCGCUACAAGAUGAAGGACAUGAGAGAACUGUCCUACAUCUUGGGAAUCUCUGUCAUCCAAGACAAAGACAAAAACUGUGUGUUUCUUCAUCAGAAGCAUUACAUUGAAGCCGUUCUUCAGAAGUAUGGUAUGCAUGAUGCAAACCCUGUUGCAACUCCAGCUGAUGCAAAUGUAAAGCUAAAAAGGGACGAUGGUGUCAGCAAGCCUGUGAACCCAAGUACUUACCAGUCUAUGGUUGGUAGUCUACUGUAUGCUGCGAUGGCCACACGGCCGGACAUAGCACAAGCUGUGAGCGUUGUGUCAAAGUUCAAUGCAAAUCCAAAUGUUUCACAUCUGACUGCAGUGAAGAGAGUUCUACGGUACUUGAAGGGUACACUGAAUCUCGCUCUCAAGUAUGAGCGGUCAGAGUCUGGAACUUUGGUCGGUUUCUCAGAUGCUGACUGGGCAGGAGACCAGGACGAUCGUCGCUCUACAACCGGAAAUGUGUUCUUACUGGGUGGAGGAGCGGUGAGUUGGCUCAGCAAGAAACAGUCAACUGUUGCUCUUUCAACAGCGGAGGCUGAGUAUGUUGCACUUAGCCAAGCAGCUCAGGAAUGUACCUGGCUUAGACGACUACUGAGUGAUCUUGGAAUGGAUGCUACUCCUGUGGUCAUCCUGGAGGACAACCAAGGAGCCAUUGCAAUCGCAAAGAAUCCAGUUGAUCAUUCAAGAACCAAGCACAUUGACAUUCGCUACCAUUACAUUCGUGAAUGUGUGCAGAAUGGACAAAUACAACUGCAAUAUUGUCCCACAGAUGACAUGAAGGCUGACAUCUUGACCAAGCCAUUGGUGAGGCAGAAGUUUGAGUAUCUUAGGAGUGAGAUUGGACUUUGUUUCAUUUAA
ensembl:lncRNA